AGGAAUACAAAACAACAGCACAGUGUCAUCCUCUCGAAACGGCAAAACCCUCAUCUUCGUCCUCUUCCCUUUGAACUGAAAUGGUGAGACUUGAGCUUCUUCUUGCGCACGGCACUGACAGGGCCGGUCUCUCUGAAUGGCAUCCCCAUCAGAGCCAAAAGUGUCUGAGCUUCUUUAUCUGUUUUAGCAGUUGUUCUAAUGCAAACAUCCAUUCCCCUGCCCUUACCAAGAUCAAACCGGAUCUCUGGGAACACACUCUGUUCCUUAAUGCCAACGGCG
rnacentral:lncRNA from 1 species